UUAUUGAAGGGUUUGAUCCUGGCUCAGAAUGAACGUUGGCGGCGUGGAUUAGGCAUGCAAGUCGAACGAGUCUCUGGGGGGUAACUCCUAGAGGAAAGUGGCGAAAGGGGCAGUAAUGUAUGGGUAACCUACCUUGAGGUCCGGGAUAGCCAUUCUAACGGAUGGGUAAUACUGGACGGCCUGAGUUGUCGGCAUCGAUAAUUUAGUAAAGGUUACGCCUCGAGAGGGGCCCAUAUGAUAUUAGCUAGUUGGUGAGGUAAUGGCUCACCAAGGCAAAGAUGUCUAGCGGGUGUGAGAGCACGACCCGCGUCAUUGGCACUGAGACACUGGCCAAACUCCUACGGGAGGCUGCAGUCGAGGAUCUUCGGCAAUGGACGAAAGUCUGACCGAGCAACGCCGCGUGUGCGAUGAAGGCCUUCGGGUUGUAAAGCACUGUCGAGGGGAAACAAGCCGUAAGGUUGAGUGACCCCUGGAGGAAGCACGGGCUAAGUUCGUGCCAGCAGCCGCGGUAAGACGAACCGUGCAAACGUUAUUCGGAAUCACUGGGCUUAAAGGGCGCGUAGGCGGGUGAUCAAGUCAAUGGUGAAAUCCUCCAGCUUAACUGGAGAAGUGCCUUUGAUACUGAUUGUCUAGAGGGAGGUAGGGGCAUGUGGAACUUCAGGUGGAGCGGUGAAAUGCGUAGAUAUCUGAAGGAACGCCAGUGGCGAAAGCGAUGUGCUGGACCUCUUCUGACGCUGAGGCGCGAAAGCUAGGGGAUCAAACGGGAUUAGAUACCCCGGUAGUCCUAGCCCUAAACUAUGGGUACUAGAUUGUGGACUUUCAUGGGUUCACAGUCGAAGCAAAAGUGUUAAGUACCCCGCCUGGGGAGUAUGGUCGCAAGGCUGAAACUCAAAGGAAUUGACGGGGGCUCACACAAGCGGUGGAGCAUGUGGCUUAAUU
rnacentral:rRNA from 1 species